AUCCAGCUGAGGAGUCCCAAAUGGGACGAAACGCGCGUCGUGGAU
rnacentral:hammerhead_ribozyme from 1 species